GAUGAACGCUGGCGGCGUGCCUAAUACAUGCAAGUCGAGCGAACAGACGAGGAGCUUGCUCCUCUGACGUUAGCGGCGGACGGGUGAGUAACACGUGGAUAACCUACCUAUAAGACUGGGAUAACUUCGGGAAACCGGAGCUAAUACCGGAUAAUAUAUUGAACCGCAUGGUUCAAUAGUGAAAGACGGUUUUGCUGUCACUUAUAGAUGGAUCCGCGCCGCAUUAGCUAGUUGGUAAGGUAACGGCUUACCAAGGCAACGAUGCGUAGCCGACCUGAGAGGGUGAUCGGCCACACUGGAACUGAGACACGGUCCAGACUCCUACGGGAGGCAGCAGUAGGGAAUCUGCCGCAAUGGGCGAAAGCCUGACGGAGCAACGCGGCGUGAGUGAUGAAGGUCUUCGGAUCGUAAAACUCUGUUAUUAGGGAAGAACAAAUGUGUAAGUAACUAUGCACGUCUUGACGGUACCUAAUCAGAAAGCCACGGCUAACUACGUG
rnacentral:rRNA from 1 species